CUACGGGUUGCAGCAGUGGGGAAUAUUACACAAUGGGGGGAACCCUGAUGCAGCAACGCCGCGUGGAGGAUGACGCAUUUCGGUGUGUAAACUCCUUUUAUAUGUCAAGAAAAUGACGGUAGCAUAUGAAUAAGCACCGGCUAACUCCGUGCCAGCAGCCGCGGUAAUACGGAGGGUGCAAGCGUUACUCGGAAUCACUGGGCGUAAAGGACGCGUAGGCGGGUUGGAAAGUCAGGUGUGAAAUCCUACAGCUUAACUGUAGAACUGAACUUGAAACUUCUAAUCUAGAGUAUGGGAGGGGGAGAUGGAAUUAGUGGUGUAGGGGUAAAAUCCGUAGAUAUCACUAGGAAUACCUAAAGCGAAGGCGAUCUCCUGGAACAUUACUGACGCUAAGGCGUGAAAGCGUGGGGAGCAAACAGGAUUAGAUACCCUUGUAGUC
rnacentral:rRNA from 1 species